CCCUAGUGUCUAUAAUCCAAGAAAAAUUACCUAGGCUGUCUCUAAAGGUGUUUCUUUACACUUGACUAAUACUGUGUGAAAGGUUAUCAAAGCCCUCUAUCAUUUUGAGCAGUUUCUACAUUUGCUCAGGAGUAAAGACCUGCAUAAAAUUAUUGUUAUUUUGCUGUUGAGUAUUCUGAUUCUGGGUAGAGGUAGAAUCAUCUUUGCAGGCGUUGGCAUAGCUCCAUUCAUUC
rnacentral:lncRNA from 1 species